AGAUUGAACGCUGGCGGCAGGCCUAACACAUGCAAGUCGAGCGGUAGAGAGGUGCUUGCACCUCUUGAGAGCGGCGGACGGGUGAGUAAAGCCUAGGAAUCUGCCUGGUAGUGGGGGAUAACGGCUCGGAAACGGACGCUAAUACCGCAUACGUCCUACGGGAGAAAGCAGGGGACCUUCGGGCCUUGCGCUAUCAGAUGAGCCUAGGUCGAUUAGCUAGUUGGUGAGGUAAUGGCUCACCAAGGCGACGAUCCGUAACUGGUCUAGGAGAGGAUGGAUCGAGUCACACGUGGAACUGACGACGACGGUACCAGUACCGUACCGUACGGGAGCAGCGAGGUAGGGAAUAGUGGAAC
rnacentral:rRNA from 1 species